AUGACCUUCCAAGUUUAUUAAGAAGACGAUGAAAUUAUUUGCGUGAAUCCUAUUCGAACAAUUCUUCUUGCGAUCCUAUCGUGAGGUUUUAAUGGAGAAAGCGGUACCAACGCAGACCUUAUUUCUUGUUACAUCCCUAGUUUCUUUCGAGGAGCUAGUUUUCUGGACGCUACUAGAAAAUUCUGAUUCUU
rnacentral:snoRNA from 1 species